rnacentral:sRNA from 1 species
CUUGAAAAAACUCAACAGCUGCAGCUUUUCGAAGUGCGAGGCGCAAAUUGGACCCGUGCAAACAAGUUAAAUACCCUGAAGCUUUUCCCAGUGGUCGGAAAAUGGAUUUUUGGGCCAGCCGUGCACUGCUUUGUUUGAUACCAAAUAACGGCAAUUGUGCAGCUCUUGUUGCACAGAAAUUGCACUAGAGGGCGCCACAGUUCGGCCACAAAAUGUUGCCGCAGCAUGUUGCCAUUGAGUAGCUGACCCCAAACAGAAUCUGCAAAGGACAACAAACCGAUGCAUAACUAACGGCAUAAACAUAAACAUAAACGUAAAUAUAAACUUAAUAAACUCGACACACAAAUCGACCUUUUGAGUAAUUAACCCCUUUUUGAAGUUAUGCGCCAUUUGUCAAGCGAGCAACAAAUUGCAUACCAAGGAGCAACACACACGCACACACACACACACACAUACCCUACGCCUGCUCCAGCCUUCUCUACGGCUUACACACACACGCACGCACACACCUUAUGCUGUUGGCUUUGUCGGCUCGGCUCUAGCGUUGGGUGUCACAGAUUAACGCCUUACUUGAAUUAUGGGCCAGCAGGAAAGCCUGGCCAGGCCGACCCCUGCGACCGGGCCAAACUACUCGACAAAUCCGAACAGAAACAAAAAGUCGACGCGUGGAAAAAUCAUGUAUAAAACAUAAGAGCGACAAACACGCACACACAUCUACUGGGUGGGAGGGGGUCUAUCGGAGCUGGCUCAAAGGCACGCAAGACUCUGGUGCAGGAGGCCAUAACACCUACCAUAUGUACGUCGCCAGAUGCCAGGCCCAGAACGGAGCCAGCGUGUGAGGCGUUUAAAAAUUGAAAACCAAUUUCGUAGCGAUUUAAAACACGAUGCCAUUCGAUUGGGUGGCGUUGGGCCUGGCACAUGUGUGUGUGUGUGCCGGCUCAUUGUGUGACUUUUCACACUUCCCUGGCCCGCCACUUGGGCUCAGUGUUUAGAUUGUGUUACCAAUAUUUAUGGCUCAGUGGGGAUACGCGCGACUUUUGGCUGGCGUGACUGCAGCUCAGGAUCGGGGCCAAGUCUAAUCGCCUGACCCCUUGGCGCAGCUUUUAGCUCUAAACUGGAUCUUAUGUGUGGAAGCGAGCGACUUUCUGUUGCACUGAGAACAGGAGGGGCACAUCGUCUCAUGAUGGAUAUGUCUAUGGCGCAACGAUGCAAUUUAUUGGCACUUCAUUUCAUAAUCAGUUUGCUGCACUCGCCUCGGGUCCAAUCAUAGCUGGAUAUUAAGUAGCUGCUUGUCCGCCGGCGGGAGUAAUUUGUCCAGCUGGGCAGCUGUGCACAAACUAUGCAUACGUACAUAUACAUAUGCAUAAUUAUGAAAGUAACGAGGCUGCAGGGUAGCUAAAGACGAUUAUGCACCUGACGCACCUGUAAGCAAAGAGCAGAUGGCUCGCAGGAUAACUGAAAAUCACCUUUGCUCAGUGCAAACGUCCAAACAUUGACCCAUUUUCUUUGUACAAACUGCG